AUUGAACGCUGGCGGCAUGCCUUACACAUGCAAGUCGAACGGUAACGGGCCUUCGGGUGCCGACGAGUGGCGAACGGGUGAGUAAUACAUCGGAACGUGCCCGAUCGUGGGGGAUAACGAGGCGAAAGCUUUGCUAAUACCGCAUACGAUCUACGGAUGAAAGCAGGGGACCGCAAGGCCUUGCGCGGACGGAGCGGCCGAUGGCAGAUUAGGUAGUUGGUGGGAUAAAAGCUUACGAAGCCGAAGAUCUGUAGCUGGUCUGAGAGGAUGAUCAGCCACACUGGGACAGAGACACGGCACAGACUCCUACGGGAGGCAGCAGGGGGGAAUGUUGGACAAUGGGCGCAAGCGUGAUCCAGCCAUGCCGCGUGCAGGAUGAAGGCCUUCGGGUUGUAAACUGCUUUUGUACGGAACGAAAAGCCUUCUUCUAAUACAGGAGGGUCAUGACGGUACCGUAAGAAUAAGCACCGGCUAACUACGUGACAGCCGCCGCAGUAA
rnacentral:rRNA from 1 species